AAGGUCUUAGCUUAAUUAAAGUGAUUGAUUUGCAUUCAAUAGAUGCAGGGUGAAGUCUUGCAGUCCUUA
rnacentral:tRNA from 1 species